rfam:Picea glauca, whole genome shotgun sequence.
AUGUACAUGCCUACAACAAAUCGUAAAUGCAUCGGAUCCCAUUAGAACUCUGCAGUUAAGUGCACUCAGGCUAGAGUAGUAUUGGGAUAGGUGACCACCUGGGAAGUCCUAGUGUUUUACAUG